UAGGGAAUCUUCGGCAAUGGGGGGAACCCUGACCGAGCAACGCCGCGUGAGUGAAGAAGGUUUUCGGAUCGUAAAGCUCUGUUGUUAAGGAAGAACGAGUGUGAGAAUGGAAAGUUCAUACUGUGACGGUACUUAACCAGAAAGGGACGGCUAACUACGUGCCAGCAGCCGCGGUAAUACGUAGGUCCCGAGCGUUGUCCGGAUUUAUUGGGCGUAAAGCGAGCGCAGGCGGUUAGAUAAGUCUGAAGUUAAAGGCAGUGGCUCAACCAUUGUAGGCUUUGGAAACUGUUGAACUUGAGUGCAGAAGGGGAGAGUGGAAUUCCAUGUGUAACGGUGAAAUGCGUAGAUAUAUGGAGGAACACCGGUGGCGAAAGCGGCUCUCUGGUCUGUAACUGACGCUGAGGCUCGAAAGCGUGGGGAGCGAACAGG
rnacentral:rRNA from 1 species